CGAGUGGCGGACGGGUGAGUAAUGUGUAGGGAAUCGCCCGAUGGAGGGGGGUAACUACUGGAAACGGUAGCUAAUACCGCAUAACGUCGCAAGACCAAAGAGGGGGACCUUCGGGCCUCUUGCCAUCGGAUGUGCCCAGAUGGGAUUAGCUAGUAGGUGGGGUAACGGCUCACCUAGGCGACGAUCCCUAGCUGGUCUGAGAGGAUGACCAGCCACACUGGAACUGAGACACGGUCCAG
rnacentral:rRNA from 1 species